CCUACGGGAGGCAGCAGUGGGGAAUAUUGGGCAAUGGAGGCAACUCUGACCCAGCAAUGCCGCGUGAGUGAUGAAGGUAAUUUUAUUGUAAAGCUCUUUUCUUUGGAACGAAUAAAUGACGGUACCAAAGGAAUAAGCCCCGGCUAACUACGUGCCAGCAGCCGUGGUAAUACGUAGGGGGUAAGCGUUGCUCGGAAUGACUGGGCGUAAAGGGGGUGUAGGGGGUUUGAUAAGUUAGAUGUGUAAUACCCAGGGCUUAAAUCGGGUGCUGUCUCUAAUACUGUUAGACUUGAGUACUGGAGAGGAUAGUGGAAAUCCUAGUGUAGCGGUGGAAUGCGGAGAUAUUAGGAGGAACACCGGUGGCGAAGGCGGCCUGCUGGACUGCAACUGACGUUGAGGCCCGAAAGCGUGGGGAGCAAACCGGAUUAGAUACCCCUGUAGUC
rnacentral:rRNA from 1 species